rnacentral:rRNA from 1 species
GAUGAACGCUGGCGGCGUGCCUAAUACAUGCAAGUCGAGCGAACGGACGAGAAGCUUGCUUCUCUGAUGUUAGCGGCGGACGGGUGAGUAACACGUGGAUAACCUACCUAUAAGACUGGGAUAACUUCGGGAAACCGGAGCUAAUACCGGAUAAUAUUUUGAACCGCAUGGUUCAAAAGUGAAAGACGGUCUUGCUGUCACUUAUAGAUGGAUCCGCGCUGCAUUAGCUAGUUGGUAAGGUAACGGCUUACCAAGGCAACGAUGCAUAGCCGACCUGAGAGGGUGAUCGGCCACACUGGAACUGGGACGCGGUCCAGACUCCUACGGGAGGCAGCAGUAGGGAAUCGUCCGCAAUAGGCGAGAGCCUGGCGGAGCAACGGCGCGUGAGUGAUGAAGGUCUUCGGAUCGUAAAACUCUGUUAUUAGGGAAGAACAUAUGUGUAAGUAACUGUGCACAUCUUGACGGUACCGAAUCAGAAAGCCACGGCUAACUACGUG